GUCUCCCCUCCACCGAGCACCCCACCUCAACCACUCCCUCCUUUAUCUUUCGGCCUGGAAAACCCUAGCCUCCACCAACCCUCCUCUCCUUCCCCUCUCAGGCCGCCACCAUUUUCUUUUCCCUUGUUCGUUUCCCUUUCUCUGUUCUCUGUGAGGAAACGAGCAUGCACACCACCACUGCCUCGCCAUCGCCCCGCCAUCUCCGGCCGCCCCUCGCCAAACUGAGAGUACCCAGAGAACCGCAUCGUCGAGCUCUACCUUCUGGUGCAAGGAAUCGCUCCAAGAGGCUCUCAAUCGAACACACGUUCGCCGUUCCCCCGCCAUGCCCGGCGCGCUCCGGUGAGAAAUCCGUCGCCGUCCGACCUCCUCCGGCCUCACCAACUCCUCCACGUCCUUCCUGAUGUUCCCGUCGGCGUUGCUAUGGUGGUUCCCCGGCUCCAAGUUCAUCGUUGGCCGAUUCCCCUUCAUCUUAUGCGUCGAACGCGCCCGCUCUUGUGUCGUUGUUCGCUCUACAUCGCGAGAUCCAUGCUCGACUGGAGCUCAGGCAUGGCCUUUUUCCCGUCUCAGAUCUCCGUUUUGUUUUGGGACAAAACGACGUACACUACUUCCUAAUCAACAUCUGAUGCAGCAAUUCAUUGAGCUGGCGUUCCAUGGGCCUCAGCCCAGUCUGAUCCGGUGCAGUCUAUCGCCCGCGCGCAACCAGAAGCUAUCCGCCGCCAUCUCACCUCAGCAUUUGCUUCUUCCCGGAUAGGAACGCGAAGUGGUGAUGUGAGAUACGACGAGUUCUCCGACAAGUUCUUCUGCAGCUUUCUACAGGCGAGCCCUCUCUCUUCACCUAUUUACUCUCUCCCUCGCACUGCUAUCCUUAUGUUGCGAUUCUUUAUCGAGUCACGUGUCCUAUCCACUUGUGUACCAUAAUAAUCCUAUAUGUAUCAUUCCUUACCCAUAGCCGUUGCUUGAUGUUUGAGCCUUGCGAGUCGUAGGCGUGUUUAGGCUCUGUUGUUUACUAGGACAAAACCCGUGCGUUGCUACGACGGCACAUAAAAAAAAAUAAACAACCCAUUAAUUUUUAAAGAUUCAUAUGGUAGUCGAAUCAAAAUAGCAUGGGGCCGUUAUUGCCUUGUCACAAAAAUCACAAAACAUUCUAAUGGAUGAAAAACAAGCUAUUUUGCGCCACCACCAUGAUAGUUAACUCGCACUCUGCACAACUAUUGUUUGUCCGCCGCUCCGACAACCUCUGGAUCACCAUGGUGUCACCUCGUGGUUGCUCCAGGCGAGGGAGCAAGGGAGCCUCUCUUCCCACGACGGACUCUCGGAGGAAGAUGAGUAUGAUUUCUUCCACUUGGAAGGCCAAUUCAUGGUAGAUAGUUAAUGCGAUCAUUAUAUUAUAUUAUUAUAUUUCUUUAAAGAAAUCCCUGAGCUAAAUUUUGGGUAAUAGUGAUGCUUUCUUUCUCAUCCCCUCACGAGCACAUAUUUUACACCUCCAUUUUUCCCUUUGAUGCAUAUGCUUAUAUGAAUAUAUUAGUUACACACUUGCAAGUUGAAAUAACAUCAUCACUUUGACACGUAAUAAUUUAAUCUUCCAUUAUUAUCUACAAUCAUUUGAGUACAAAAUUUGAGUCAAGAUAUAUAUUAGCAGUACCUCCGUUUCAUAAAACAAGGCGUAUAUUUUUUAGUCAAAAUUCAACGCUUUGUGAAUACACGAUAAAAAUAUCGUGUGUAUGCUGAAUCUCUUGAUAUGAAUUUGGUAUAGUAUAUGUUCAUGUAUCCGUGUAUAAAAUUAAAUAAACUUUAAAGAUGUUGACUUUUGACUAAAAGUAUACACUUGUAGUAGAUUAUGACCAGACAAAAAUCCCCAGUUUUUUGUUCUUAGUGUUGUUCUCAAACUCGGCAGCGCUUGGUGAUAAUUUAAUUAACUACCAUGUCGAUCGGCUCAAGUCUUAACAACACCUCAUUGCUGCUCCUUUGGUCAAUUUGCAUACGCCUGCUUGGUCCAUUUACAUUUAGGCAGUGUCAGAUCCACUUGAAAAAGGAGAAAUUGUAGGGGCAAAUCCGUGGUGAAGUGGGCGCUAGCUAUGCCCAAACUACCGUUGCAGGUGAGGUGGCGCUGGAGCUGGGAAUCCAGGACGACAAUUCCUUCAUCGGCGAGAGUUGGAGAUAAUGCAUUUUUUCCUGAUGGCCUUAGAGCAUCAGCUUAAUCAAGAAUAAAAGAGCAGCAGGAGAGCGCUUCUAAAGCACCAGGGCGGCGAACCUCCAUGUGCAGCGGCAUAAGUAGACUAAAAAAUGAAUGGAAUUCCUCCAAAUCUCCUUGUCGCACUUGCUAUGCAUCCAAUCUCUCUUUUCUCUCUCUGUUUCUUCUGCGUCUCCCGGGGACCGGAUCUAUCGGCCCCUACAUCCAAUGGGAGAUCUUGGCCUAGAGAGGGGAGUGCAGAUGACGCGCUGCACCAUGAGGCUCCCGAAGCAGCGGGGACACCAGAUCCGUACCUUGGGCGUCGAGAAGUCGGCAGUUCCACACUGUAACCCAGCCCCUGCCGCCAUGGAUGCCGCUGCCAUCUGCGGUGGAGCACCGGUAAAAGAUGAAGACGCGGCGGCAAGGAUGUGGGGCGGUGAUUCGGGCGAUGUUGGGGAUGUGAGGGAAGCGCGGGUAGCCGACGUCGCCGAAAGACAGCAGCGCGCGGAGGCGACGGCCGAGGCGCGGUCAGGCGGCGAGCGUUUUCCGUGCGGGAGGGAAGAGAGAAAAACAGAACGAACCGGUACCGUGUCAAUGUGCUGUAUUAUGCGAUUUAGUGGGAGGGCAAAAUCGUCUAAUAGAAAGUUGGACGAACGACCGAGGGAGAAACCCUUUUGCUUUUAUUAUUAGGUAUAGAUCUCGAUCUGUUAUCGGGAUAUGUUGGGUUG